rnacentral:rRNA from 1 species
GACGUAGGGCGCGAGCGUUGUCCGGAUUUAUUGGGCGUAAAGAGCUCGUAGGCGGCUUGUUGCGUCGACCGUGAAAACUUGUGGCUCAACCAUGAGCUGGCGGUCGAUACGGGAAGGCUGGAGUUCGGUAGGGGAGACUGGAAUUCCUGGUGUAGCGGUGAAAUGCGCAGAUAUCAGGAGGAACACCGGUGGCGAAGGCGGGUCUCUGGGCCGAUACUGACGCUGAGGAGCGAAAGCGUGGGGAGCGAACAGG